rnacentral:rRNA from 1 species
GACGAACGCUGGCGGCGUGCUUAACACAUGCAAGUCGAACGGAAAGGCCCUGCUUUUGUGGGGUGCUCGAGUGGCGAACGGGUGAGUAACACGUGAGUAACCUGCCCUUGACUUUGGGAUAACUUCAGGAAACUGGGGCUAAUACCGGAUAGGAGCUCCUGCUGCAUGGGGGGGGUUGGAAAGUUUCGGCGGUGGGGGAUGGACUCGCGGCUUAUCAGCUUGUUGGGGGGGUAGUGGUUUACCAAGGCUUUGACGGGUAGCCGGCCUGGGAGGGUGAACGGCCACAAUGGGACUGAGAUACGGCCCAGACUCCUACGGGAGGCAGCAGUGGGGAAUAUUGCGCAAUGGGCGGGAGCCUGAUGCAGCAACGCCGCGUGCGGGAUGACGGCCUUCGGGUUGUAAACCGCUUUCGCCUGUGACGAAGCGUGAGUGACGGUAAUGGGUAAAGAAGCACCGGCUAACUACGUG